rnacentral:tRNA from 1 species
GGGCCAUAGCUCAGUGGUAGAGCAGCUGCUUUGCAUACAGAAGGUCCCAAGUUCAAUUCCCGGCAUCUCCA